GCUUGGCGUUGGUUGUCCAAGUUUAAGGUGGUAGGCUGGAAUCUUAGGUAAAUCCGGGAUUCUAAGGCCGAGAGCUGAUGACGAGUUACCUUUUAGGUGACGAAGUGGUUGAUGCCAUGCUUCCAAGAAAAGCUUCUAAGCUUCAGAUAACUAGGAACCGUACCCCAAACCGACACAGGUGGUUGGGUAGAGAAUACCAAGGCGCUUGAGAGAACUCGGGUGAAGGAACUAGGCAAAAUGGCACCGUAACUUCGGGAGAAGGUGCGCCGGUGAGGGUGAAGGACUUGCUCCGUAAGCCCAUGCCGGUCGAAGAUACCAGGCCGCUGCGACUGUUUAUUAAAAACACAGCACUCUGCAAACACGAAAGUGGACGUAUAGGGUGUGACGCCUGCCCGGUGCCGGAAGGUUAAUUGAUGGGGUUAGCUAACGCGAAGCUCUUGAUCGAAGCCCCGGUAAACGGCGGCCGUAACUAUAACGGUCCUAAGGUAGCGAAAUUCCUUGUCGGGUAAGUUCCGACCUGCACGAAUGGCGUAACGAUGGCGGCGCUGUCUCCACCCGAGACUCAGUGAAAUUGAAAUCGCUGUGAAGAUGCAGUGUAUCCGCGGCUAGACGGAAAGACCCCGUGAACCUUUACUAUAGCUUUGCACUGGACUUUGAAUUUGCUUGUGUAGGAUAGGUGGGAGGCUUUGAAGCGUGGACGCCAGUUCGCGUGGAGCCAUCCUUGAAAUACCACCCUGGCAACUUUGAGGUUCUAACUCAGGUCCGUUAUCCGGAUCGAGGACAGUGUAUGGUGGGUAGUUUGACUGGGGCGGUCUCCUCCUAAAGAGUAACGGAGGAGUACGAAGGUGCGCUCAGACCGGUCGGAAAUCGGUCGUAGAGUAUAAAGGCAAAAGCGCGCUUGACUGCGAGACAGACACGUCGAGCAGGUACGAAAGUAGGUCUUAGUGAUCCGGUGGUUCUGUAUGGAAGGGCCAUCGCUCAACGGAUAAAAGGUACUCCGGGGAUAACAGGCUGAUACCGCCCAAGAGUUCAUAUCGACGGCGGUGUUUGGCACCUCGAUGUCGGCUCAUCACAUCCUGGGGCUGAAGCCGGUCCCAAGGGUAUGGCUGUUCGCCAUUUAAAGUGGUACGCGAGCUGGGUUUAGAACGUCGUGAGACAGUUCGGUCCCUAUCUGCCGUGGACGUUUGAGAUUUGAGAGGGGCUGCUCCUAGUACGAGAGGACCGGAGUGGACGAACCUCUGGUGUUCCGGUUGUCACGCCAGUGGCAUUGCCGGGUAGCUAUGUUCGGAAAAGAUAACCGCUGAAAGCAUCUAAGCGGGAAACUUGCCUCAAGAUGAGAUCUCACUGGAACCUUGAGUUCCCUGAAGGGCCGUCGAAGACUACGACGUUGAUAGGUUGGGUGUGUAAGCGCUGUGAGGCGUUGAGCUAACCAAUACUAAUUGCCCGUGAGGCUUGACCAUAUAACACCCAAGCAAUU
rnacentral:rRNA from 1 species